rnacentral:lncRNA from 1 species
AUGAAGAUCAUUCUCAGCAAUCGGACCGUCGACAUUCUGGACAAUGUCGACAUCACUCUGAAGGGUCGCACAGUCAUUGUGAAGGGCCCCAGGGGAACUCUGCAGAGGGAUUUCAAUCACAUCAACGUGGAACUGAGUCUUCUAGGAAAGAAAAAGAUAAGGCUCAGGUUGACAAAUGGUGGGGUAACAGAAAGGAAUUGGCCACCAUCAGAAACAUCUGCAGUCAUGUUCAGAACAUGAUCAAGGGUGUCACACUGGGCUUCCAUUACAAGAUGCGGUCUAUGUAUGGUCACUUCCCCAUCAACGUCGUUAUCCAGGAGAAUGGGUCUCUGGUUGAAAUCUGAAAUUUCUUGGGUGAAAAAUCCAUCCGCAGGGUUUCGACGAGAACAGGUACUGCUUGUUCUGUCUCUCAAGCCCAGGAGGGUGAGUUAGUCCUUGAAGGAAAUGAUAUUGAACUUGUUUCAAAUUCAGCGCCCUGAUUCAGCAAGCCACAACAGUUCAAAACAUGGGUAUCAGGAAGUUUUUGGACGGCAUCUAUGUGUCUGGGAAGGGAACCUUGCAGCAGGCUGACGAGUGA